rnacentral:lncRNA from 1 species
UCUCCAUCUUCUGGAAGCAAUCUAACGAUGGCAUGGGCGAGAAAGAUGGCGAUGGAGUUACGCACGAAAAACGUAAUCCAGACCCAUAGACAACGGUGCAUGCUCCUCCACUUGGAGGGGCUGUCCUAUCCUCCUCAAGUGGACGCGUCUCAAAGAGGGUGGCAUUAAACAAUCCUGAGUACGAGCAAACUUGGGCAGCUAUUGAAUUCUCCAACUGCCCAAGCACCUUCCCCUUCCCCUCAUCCAACGACAUCAAGUACAAUGCUUUUGGUCGGCGAGAUUUUUUUUUUUCACCCUUACAGGUAGGAAAUUAACCAGUCCAACGUAACGUGAAGUGCGAAUCAAGCGUCGUGAGCUUGGAAUAAGAGGCUAGUUUCAGCAGAGCUCUUGGGAUGCUCCCUUCAGGUGGAAUCAAGUCAUUUUUAAACUGAAAGUGCUCAUGUUUGUAUUACCAUGGAGCCAGACAAACUCACCGAAUUCAUCAGUCUCUCUCUCUCUCUCUCUCUCAGCCAUUUUUUAGGUGGGUGGUGGUGUAGCACACUCUUGUGCCCAAUGAAUUCAAAGACAAGAUUAUUUUUUUUGGAUGAAAAUAUACCGACCGUGG